GACGAACGCUGGCGGCGUGCUUAACACAUGCAAGUCGAACGGAAAGGCCUUGCUCUUGGGGUGCGCUCGUGUGGCGAACGGGUGUGAAACACGAGUGUAACGCGCCCUUGACUUGGGGAUAUCUUGAGGAAACUGGGGCUAAUACCGGAUAGGAGCUUCUGCCGCGUGGUGGGGGGUGGAGAGUUUCGGCGGUUGGGUGUGGUCUCGCGGCUUCUCGGCUUGUUGGUGGGGUAGGGGCUUACCAAGGUUUUGACGGGUAGCCGGCCUGAGAGGGUGACCGGCAAAAUUGGGACGAGGAUACGGCCCAGACCCCUACGGGAGGCAGCGGUGGGAAAUAUUGCACAAUGGGGGGAAGCCUGAUGCGGAAACGCCGCGUGCGGAAUGACGGCCUUCGGGUGGUAAACCGCUUUGGCCUUUGACGAAGCGUGUGUGACGGUAAUGGGUAAAGAAGCACCGGCUAACUACGUG
rnacentral:rRNA from 1 species